AACGUAGGGGACAAGCGUUAUCCGGAUUUACUGGGCGUAAGGCGCCCGUAGGCGGCCUGACAAGUUGGACGUGAAAGCUCCUGGCUUAACUGGGAGAGGCCGUUCAAAACUGUCAAGCUAGAGUCUGGAAGAGGAGAGCGGAAUUCCCGGUGUAGUGGUGGAAUGCGCAGAUAUCAGGAGGAACACCAAUAGCGAAGGCAGCUCGCUGGGACGUUACUGACACUGAGAGACGAAAGCUAGGGGAGCGAAUGGG
rnacentral:rRNA from 1 species